CUACGGUGAAUACGUUCCCGGACCUUGCACACACCGCCCGUCAAGCCAUGGGAGCCGGUGUACCUAAAGUCGGUAACCGUAAGGAGCCGCCUAGGGUAAACUGGUGACUGGGGCU
rnacentral:rRNA from 1 species